GUAAGGGCUGAAUGCGACUAUGCUGCUUUAUGGUGUCAUUCAUUUCCACUUGAAAUGUGGAGCAGUGCAGGUGCCUCCUAUGAACUACAGCUUGUCUGCAGUGGGUUAGUGAUGAGGGGCUUUGCAAUAACUAUAAUAAAGGAUCACCUUCACUUUUGCCCGCUUCUGUUGCCAAAUGUUGGACAUUUCAAAAGUGUCGAUGGCUGCAGCCUUGUUGCAGGACCUCGUGUUAUAUUUUUGCACCAGGAGGAGCAUAUACGCAUUCAUGACCUGACAGAAAGAAAAGAAGCAAAAUAACUUUUGCAAUUAUAUGGAGGCCUGUCUUACACCUGUCAAUUAAAAACAGCAAUAAAAGGAUCACAAAGGUUUAAAAGGUCUUUUCUCCUUAAGGCUGUAUCGUGCAGUGCAAGGGCAGCCAA